UACGGGGGGGGCAAGCGUUGUUCGGAAUUACUGGGCGUAAAGGGCUCGUAGGUGGCCAACUAAGUCGGACGUGAAAUCCCUCGGCUUAACCGGGGAACUGCGUCCGAUACUGGUUGGCUUGAGUUUGGGAGAGGGAUGCGGAAUUCCAGGUGUAGCGGUGAAAUGCGUAGGUAUCUGGAGGAACACCGAUGGCGAAGGCGGCAUCCUGGACCGACAUUGACGCUGAGGAGCGAAAGCCAGGGAAGCAAACGGG
rnacentral:rRNA from 1 species